UUUUGCUGCUUCCAAGAGAGGAGCUUCCAAGCAAAACGCGUGGUCCACCUCCGAGUUAUUUCUUUUUCUACACCGGUACCUCAGCUCUCUCUUUCUCUCUCUUUCUCUCUCUUUCUUUCUCUCCUUUCUCUCUUUCUUUCUCUCCUUUCUCUCUCUCUCUCUCUCUCUCUCUCUCUCUUUCUCUUUUUCUCUCUUUCUCUCUCUUUCUCCCUCUCUUUCUUUUUCUCUUUCUCUCUUUCUUCUUCUUUCUUUGCCUUUCUCUAUCAUUCUGCACCCCCUUCGUUGUACCCACCUCCACUUACUUCUCCACCUCUUCCAUCUAUACUGCCUAGACGGCACAAAUUAUUACCCGUCGCAGGUGCAUUUUUUCCAAUUCUCUUUUCUUUCAUCCGAACGUUCGCCUCUCAUUCUCUCUCUCUCUCUCUCUCCCUCUCUCUCUUCUUCUUCUUCUUCUCUCUUCGCGUUUCUCCAACGUCCAUCGCGCAACAAGAAGUUAUGAAAUCUCAAAGGAACGGCUAUUCGUUUCGUGCAAUUGACAGCAACGAGAAUAUGGCCGCCUGAACUUCUAUACUGUAUAAGUCUACUCUUGAACGUUAUUUGUGAACGAAUCGAAGAAGAAACUAUGUAAACUGUUUUUUCGUCAAAUAUAACAAAGUUAACUACAACGAUGUAUUUAAGUUCUAACGACUCAUAAAUCGAAUAGUAACUUAACAUAUCAUAGAUUUAUCAUAGAAUUUUAAUAUAAUGACAGUUAAUGUUCAUUCUUGAAUUCUUGUGGUCACAAUUGCGGAUGGUUCUACACUUUUCAUCUUAUGCCGAAUAACGGAUUUUCGGACCAGGAAUUGAAUCAUACGCUCAAGGUGAAGAUGUCUUACGAUCGCAAACGUUUCUGAUUCGUUCGUCGACGGUGGUCGAGCUACCGAACAUCGAGUUUAAUGCAGAUUAAGGUGUGCAAGGGGGUUUGGAAAGUCCUUUGUAGAACGCUUUUCGUUCGGUAUUAGCUGGAAGUAGCUCGUAGAACCGUGGUAUUACCUGGAAUUACGUCUCAAUCUACCGUGGCCGUCGACUAAACUAAUAUUAAAACUUUUAACGUAGUUAGAGAGAGAGAGCGCGGCCCGUGGUUGCUUUACCGUCCGUGAAGCUCCGCGUUCUCUCCCCUCUCUUCCCCCUUCCUCUUUUAGCUCCAUCAGUUUCUCCCUCUUCCAUGUCUCUCCUGCAAGCUGCGUCUCUCUCUCUCUCUCUCUCUCUCUCUCUCUUUUACUCUUGAAGCAUGUGUGAGUGUGGGCUGCAUUGACCGGUACUGAACUUUGAUGUGUUUCCUGUGCAAAAUUCACCUCCGAAGUCAUAAAUUAGCAGCGGAGACCGAUGCGUUUCUCUUUGCUUUCUUCGAAAGUUGCACGAUGGACGAACUAUUGGAGGACGAUGAAAAGCAGAAAUGAAAAUUCAGUCUCAUCCGCGAGACCAAUACACAUAUAUCUUGCAAGUUACAGAACCAGAAUUUUCAAUGAAGUUUGGACAAGACUCUUCACCCUCACCAAAGUUUUACUUUAUCGACUACGAAAGUAAACUUCGAUUAGGAAGAACGACGCUCUGUGAACUUUUACUUCAGAACCUUAGUCUACUUCGAUCAGCUUGGAGAAACUAUUGAAGAUUUGCAAUUUGACAUUGUAAUCAUCGGUUAAAAAUAAACGAUUAUCAAGAUAUUAUUAAAAACUCGUUGCUAUAAGAAAA